AAAUGAAUAGACGGGGACCCGCACAAGCGGUGGAGCAUGUGGUUUAAUUCGAAGCAACGCGAAGAACCUUACCAGGUCUUGACAUCCCGGUGACCGGUGCGUAACGGCACCUUUCCUUCGGGACACUGGAGACAGGUGGUGCAUGGUUGUCGUCAGCUCGUGUCGUGAGAUGUUGGGUUAAGUCCCGCAACGAGCGCAACCCUUAUCCUUAGUAGCCAGCAAUACGGUUGGGCACUCUGGGGAGACUGCCAGGGAUAACCUGGAGGAAGGUGGGGAUGACGUCAAAUCAUCAUGCCCCUUAUGAUCUGGGCUACACACGUGCUACAAUGGCGUAAACAAAGGGAGGCAGCCCUGCGAAGGUGAGCGAACCCCAAAAAUAACGUCUCAGUUCGGACUGCAGUCUGCAACUCGACUGCACGAAGCUGGAAUCGCUAGUAAUCGCGAAUCAGCAUGUCGCGGUGAAUACGUUCCCGGGUCUUGUACACACCGCCCGU
rnacentral:rRNA from 1 species